GACGAACGCUGGCGGCGCGCCUAACACAUGCAAGUCGAGCGGGAAGCUUUUUAAGGAUUCUUCGGAUGAAUUAAAAAGUGGAGAGCGGCGGACGGGUGAGUAACGCGUGAGAAACCUGCCCUAUACAGGGGGAUAGCCAUUGGAAACGAUGAUUAAUACCCCAUAUGACCACAGUAUCGCAUGAUACAGCGGUGAAAACUCCGGUGGUAUAGGAUGGUCUCGCGUCUGAUUAGCUAGUUGGUGGGGUAACGGCCUACCAAGGCGACGAUCAGUAGCCGGCCUGAGAGGGUGACCGGCCACACUGGAACUGAGACACGGUCCAGACUCCUACGGGAGGCAGCAGUGGGGAAUAUUGCACAAUGGGCGAAAGCCUGAUGCAGCGACGCCGCGUGAGCGAUGAAGGCCUUUCGGGUCGUAAAGCUCUGUCCUAAGGGAAGAAUAAUGACGGUACCUUAGGAGGAAGCCCCGGCUAACUACGUGCCAGCGCCGCGGUAA
rnacentral:rRNA from 1 species